rnacentral:rRNA from 1 species
AGAGUUUGAUCAUGGCUCAGAUUGAACGCUGGCGGCAGGCCUAACACAUGCAAGUCGAACGGUAACAGGAAACAGCUUGCUGUUUCGCUGACGAGUGGCGGACGGGUGAGUAAUGUCUGGGAAACUGCCCGAUGGAGGGGGAUAACUACUGGAAACGGUAGCUAAUACCGCAUAACGUCGCAAGACCAAAGAGGGGGACCUUCGGGCCUCUUGCCAUCGGAUGUGCCCAGAUGGGAUUAGCUUGUUGGUGGGGUAACGGCUCACCAAGGCGACGAUCCCUAGCUGGUCUGAGAGGAUGACCAGCCACACUGGAACUGAGACACGGUCCAGACUCCUACGGGAGGCAGCAGUGGGGAAUAUUGCACAAUGGGCGCAAGCCUGAUGCAGCCAUGCCGCGUGUAUGAAGAAGGCCUUCGGGUUGUAAAGUACUUUCAGCGGGGAGGAAGGGAGUAAAGUUAAUACCUUUGCUCAUUGACGUUACCCGCAGAAGAAGCACCGGCUAACUCCGUGCCAGCAGCCGCGGUAAUACGGAGGGUGCAAGCGUUAAUCGGAAUUACUGGGCGUAAAGCGCACGCAGGCGGUUUGUUAAGUCAGAUGUGAAAUCCCCGGGCUCAACCUGGGAACUGCAUCUGAUACUGGCAAGCUUGAGUCUCGUAGAGGGGGGUAGAAUUCCAGGUGUAGCGGUGAAAUGCGUAGAGAUCUGGAGGAAUACCGGUGGCGAAGGCGGCCCCCUGGACGAAGACUGACGCUCAGGUGCGAAAGCGUGGGGAGCAAACAGGAUUAGAUACCCUGGUAGUCCACGCCGUAAACGAUGUCGACUUGGAGGUUGUGCCCUUGAGGCGUGGCUUCCGGAGCUAACGCGUUAAGUCGACCGCCUGGGGAGUACGGCCGCAAGGUUAAAACUCAAAUGAAUUGACGGGGGCCCGCACAAGCGGUGGAGCAUGUGGUUUAAUUCGAUGCAACGCGAAGAACCUUACCUGGUCUUGACAUCCACAGAACUUUCCAGAGAUGGAUUGGUGCCUUCGGGAACUGUGAGACAGGUGCUGCAUGGCUGUCGUCAGCUCGUGUUGUGAAAUGUUGGGUUAAGUCCCGCAACGAGCGCAACCCUUAUCCUUUGUUGCCAGCGGUCCGGCCGGGAACUCAAAGGAGACUGCCAGUGAUAAACUGGAGGAAGGUGGGGAUGACGUCAAGUCAUCAUGGCCCUUACGACCAGGGCUACACACGUGCUACAAUGGCGCAUACAAAGAGAAGCGACCUCGCGAGAGCAAGCGGACCUCAUAAAGUGCGUCGUAGUCCGGAUUGGAGUCUGCAACUCGACUCCAUGAAGUCGGAAUCGCUAGUAAUCGUGGAUCAGAAUGCCACGGUGAAUACGUUCCCGGGCCUUGUACACACCGCCCGUCACACCAUGGGAGUGGGUUGCAAAAGAAGUAGGUAGCUUAACCUUCGGGAGGGCGCUUACCACUUUGUGAUUCAUGACUGGGGUGAAGUCGUAACAAGGUAACCGUAGGGGAACCUGCGGUUGGAUCACCU